rnacentral:rRNA from 1 species
UACGACUACAUAUCAGGCAUAUCAAUAAGCGGAGGAAAAGAAACUAACAAGGAUUCCCUUAGUAACGGCGAGUGAAGCGGGAAGAGCUCAAAUUUGAAAUCUUCAAGGUUUUACCUUGACGAAUUGUAGUUUAAAGAAGUGUUUUCUGUUGAAGUUUUGGUAAAAGUUCUUUGGAAUAGGACAUCAUAGAGGGUGAGAAUUCCGUAUUUGACCAUUAUUUUCAGCUGUGUGAUACACUUUCAAAGAGUCGGAUUGUUUGGGAAUGCAGUCCAAAAUGGGUGGUAAAUUUCAUCUAAAGCUAAAUAUUGGCGAGAGACCGAUAGCGAACAAGUACCGUGAGGGAAAGAUGAAAAGAGCUUUGAAAAGAGAGUUAAACAGUACGUGAAAUUGUCAAAAGGGAAGCGUUUGACACCAGUGUUGUUUUCUCGAAAAUCAAUUAAAAAUAGUUGGAUUUUGUGUUGUAUUGACCUUAACAGCUUGCUUCACUCUUUUCCAGCUUUUUUUAAUGCACUUUUCGUUUAACAAGUCAACAUCAGUUUCUUUUGUUGUAAAAGGGUCAUUGGAAGGUGGCUUUCUUUCGGAGAAAGUGUUUAUAGCCUUUGAUCUCUGCAAUCGGAGAGAUUGAGGUCUGCAGCGUAGAUCCUUCGGGGUUAGAUACAUUUGUGCUAAGCUAUAGCCUUGUAUAGACAACUUGUUGACUAUGCUCAGUCAUGUGACUUACUCGCUUAUGCUAUUUUACCUACGCUUAGGAUGUUGAGCGCAUGUCUCUCUCU